AAGUCGUAACAAGGUUUCCGUAGGUGAACCUGCGGAAGGAUCAUUAAAGAGUAAGGGUGCUCAGCGCCCGACCUCCAACCCUCUGUUGUUAAAACUACCUUGUUGCUUUGGCGGGACCGCUUCAGGUCCGUCCGAGCCGCCGGGGCCGUCAAAAGCCCAGGCGAGUUCCCGCCAGAGUUAAACCAAACUCUUGUUAAUAAACCGGUCGUCUGAGUUAAAUUUUUGAAUAAAUCAAAACUUUCAACAACGGAUCUCUUGGUUCUC
rnacentral:misc_RNA from 1 species